UACGUAGGUGGCAAGCGUUGUCCGGAUUUACUGGGCGUAAAGAGCGCGCAGGCGGCUGGGCAAGUCCGAUGUGAAAGCUUCCGGCUUAACUGGAAAAUUGCAUCGGAAACUGCUCGGCUUGAAGGUGGGAGAGGGUAGCGGAAUUCCCGGUGUAGUGGUGAAAUGCGUAGAUAUCGGGAGGAACACCAGUGGCGAAGGCGGCUACCUGGCCCACUCUUGACGCUGAGGCGCGAAAGCUAGGGAGCAAACGGG
rnacentral:rRNA from 1 species